rnacentral:tRNA from 1 species
CAAAGUGUAGCUUAGUAUUAAAGCACCCGGCCUACACCCGGAAGAUUCCACUAUAAAAUGGCCACUUUGA